rnacentral:tRNA from 1 species
CCCCUGGUGGUCCAGUGGCUAGGACUCUGUGCUGCCAAUCAGGGGACCUGGGUUCAAUCCCUGGUCAGGGAA